UACGAAGGGGCUAGCGUUGUUCGGAAUUACUGGGCGUAAAGCGCACGUAGGCGGAUUUUUAAGUCAGGGGUGAAUCCCGAGGCUCAACCUCGGAACUGCCUUUGAUACUGGAGAUCUUGAGUUCGGAAGAGGUUGGUGGAACAGCUAGUGUAGAGGUGAAAUUCGUAGAUAUUAGCUAGAACACCGGUGGCGAAGGCGGCCCAACUGGAUCGGUACUGACGCUGAGGUGCGAAAGCGUGGGGAGCAAACA
rnacentral:rRNA from 1 species